UACGUAGGGUGCGAGCGUUAAUCGGAAUUACUGGGCGUAAAGCGUGCGCAGGCGGUAAUGUAAGACAGAUGUGAAAUGCCCGGGCUCAACCUGGGAACUGCAUUUGUGACUGCAUUGCUGGAGUGCGGCAGAGGGGGAUGGAAUUCCGCGUGUAGCAGUGAAAUGCGUAGAUAUGCGGAGGAACACCGAUGGCGAAGGCAAUCCCCUGGGCCUGCACUGACGCUCAUGCACGAAAGCGUGGGGAGCAAACAGG
rnacentral:rRNA from 1 species